rfam:Gossypium raimondii Chr03_contig_457, whole genome shotgun sequence.
CUCAAGGAAGCGCUUUGUCCACGUGGACAGAAAACGCGUCCUUGAGGGCGCGCUUUGUGUCCACGUGGACAAAGUGCUUCCACGUCA